rnacentral:RNase_P_RNA from 14 species
AAGAAAGAAAGAAAGAAAGAAAGAAGCGAGAAAAAAUGAGAGGCGAUGGUGAAGAAGAGAUAGCUUUUUCUGUCUCUGAUUUAUCUUAUUCUUUGUCUUCUUCUUCUUUGUCCUCUUCUUCUUCCUCGACGACGACGACGACGCAAAGAAACGUUU